CGAACGGGUGAGUAAUAUAUCGGAACGUGCCCAGUCGGUGGGGAUAACGUAGCGAAAGUUACGCUAAUACCGCAUACGAUCUAAGGAUGAAAGCGGGGGAUCGCAAGACCUCGCGCGAUUGGAGCGGCCGAUAUCAGAUUAGGUAGUUGGUGAGGUAAAGGCUCACCAAGCCAACGAUCUGUAGCUGGUCUGAGAGGACGACCAGCCACACUGGAACUGAGACACGGUCCAGACUCCUACGGGAGGCAGCAGUGGGGAAUUUUGGACAAUGGACGCAAGUCUGAUCCAGCCAUUCCGCGUGCAGGAUGAAGGCCCUCGGGUUGUAAACUGCUUUUGUACGGAACGAAAAGGUUUGUCUUAAUACGAUGAGCUCAUGACGGUACCGUAAGAAUAAGCACCGGCUAACUACGUG
rnacentral:rRNA from 1 species